CUUCCUCCUGCUCUCUGCUCUCUCUGGAGCCACCAUGUGAUCCCGGGAAGAGGACACCAGCUGAAAGCAUCCUCGAAGCAUCCGAGGUAACAUUUUAAAGAAAGGGGCUCUUCUUAGUGAACUGUGAAGAAACCAAGGACUGUGACCCACUGGAAUCUUUCCUGUAGAAUGUCGUCAAAAUUCUACUGGACAGCCGAGUUGGGUUUCCUGUGUUGCCUUAUGGCUGCAAGCCAUCACCGAAUUAUAGAUAGCUAGAGCAUUCAUGCCCUUGGAGAUGGCAUUUGUCAUGUGAUUCUCGGAGGGAGUUCCUUGAAGACUUCCCAAAGGUUAAAGACAUGAGAAGUUGUUGCUGGCUAGAGUGAGACAGAACCACAGUGCCAUGGCCACGUGCUGAUGGUGUGCAUAUUGUGGCCAUUGCCAGGACCCAUGCUUUCACCUGGAGUUUGAUGAGAAGGCCAUGGCAGGUUUUGAGUUGACACACCAGAGAAAAUUCAGCAUGGAUUCUAUGUGAAGAAGGCUUGGUAAAAAGAUCACUGUCAGCUGGACAAAGGAGACCCCUGUAGGGAGAAAGCAUGAUUAGACGUACCGCUGAACUGAACCAUAUUCCUGGAAUCCAGUUGUGGAGAAGGAGGAGGGAUGAGCAAAGGAGCCAAGAUGGUGCUGCAGAAACCCACAGAAACAGUUGUCCUGACCUAAUGAAAGCAUGGAGACCCUAGUCGCAAAGCUGAGGAAACAGCAUUGGACUGAACCAAGCCCUCUGAAUGAUUCAAGACAGUUGGCUUCAGUGGACACGGUUGUGGAGGAAUCUCGGCUUCUUCUAGCAAUGGCCACAGUUCUGACAUCGUUCGUACCAGGCCUUCCCCUGCCACUGUCCUGGUGGGGAGAAAAGGGGAGGCUGCUGGCAGGGUUGAUGCCACAGCCUUACGAUUGUGUAGUAAACACCAGUGUUCAUGGGUCUCUGAGAUGCAUUGACUUGAAGCCAUUUGGAUCAAAUGGAUGGCCUUAUCCCAACGUCUGCAUUCCCCAUGUGUUUAAUGAGUUCAGAUGAAAGAAAAACAGAUGCACACAUGACUUUACAAAGAGAAAGCUCACAUAAGACAACCUGUGUGACAGGCACAUGAACAUGAACUAAAAUGUGUAGAGUAAAAUUCAGGCGUGACUUGGAACUUCAGGCAGUUGCAGGGGCCUUACAUGUUGGUAAAACACUUUUUCCUCUAGCUACAUGAAGUCACUCAAAAAUUUCCAAGAAAUGGUGGAAUAUUUAAUUUUACUUAGAAAAUUGCUACCUGUUGAAACUUGCCUUAUCAAGUUAUAAUAAAUGUA
rnacentral:lncRNA from 1 species